ensembl:snRNA predicted gene, 24720
CUCUUUCCCUGGCAAGCGAGAUACCACAAUCAAGAAGAUGGCUGUACCAGGGUGAACCUUAUCAGUUGCAGUCCAGGUAUGCCAAGCCCUGCCACUUCCCCAAACACAAAACAACCAACGGCAUCGUUUGUGGCACUGGGGACCUAUGUUUCUGCUUUCCUCUCCU